AGUGAACGCUGGCGGUAGGCCUAACACAUGCAAGUCGAACGGCAGCACAGUAAGAGCUUGCUCUUACGGGUGGCGAGUGGCGGACGGGUGAGGAAUACAUCGGAAUCUACUUUUUCGUGGGGGAUAACGUAGGGAAACUUACGCUAAUACCGCAUACGACCUACGGGUGAAAGCAGGGGAUCUUCGGACCUUGCGCGAUUGAAUGAGCCGAUGUCGGAUUAGCUAGUUGGCGGGGUAAAGGCCCACCAAGGCGACGAUCCGUAGCUGGUCUGAGAGGAUGAUCAGCCACACUGGAACUGGGACACGGUCCAGACUCCUACGGGAGGCAGCAGUUGGGAAUAUUAGACAAUGGGCGCAAGCCUGAUCCAGCCAUACCGAGUGGGUGAAGAAGGCCUUCGGGUGGUAAAGCCCUUUUGUUGGGAAAGAAAAGCAGCAGGUUAAUACCCCGCUGUUCUGACGGUACCCAAAGAAUAAGCACCGGCUAACUUCGUG
rnacentral:rRNA from 1 species